rnacentral:lncRNA from 1 species
AUGGCUCCCCAGAGGAAAGGGCCAGAAGGUUUUCACCAGCGCGGUGAGUGGCGAGGAUUUCAGGAAGAUUGGAAUUGAGGAGGAAGCCAUUUGCCUGCCUACAACCUCCUGUAUCCCCUUGUUGGUGACAGAACAAAAGAUAAAGCAGUCAGCAUUACCUGAAGUGACUUGGAGGUGAUUAAUACUCAGAGCUCCUGGAGCAGAAAGGUGGGCAUGCAAGUUGCAAUUAAGAUGAUAAAGAACGCAGCUUAGCAGCAAGCUGGGGUGCGAGGCUGGUGAGGAGGAGAGCUACUGCCUGUCUCUUGCUCUGCAGAGACUGCUUCUGAGAUACACGCACGGGGUUUAUGAUGCUGCCAGGCUCAUCAGGAGAGAGAAGAAAGGUACCUUCCAUUAGAGCUACCUGCCAAAUUUUGGAUGGCAGCACCCCAAGAUGAAAGGAGCUUGGAUCCCCAAGUCAUUAUUUGGAGGAGAGCCUCUGCAAAGAACUGCCUGCUGUGCACUGGACUGUGAGGCUCUGAGCCUCCUUGACGGGAAAGAUUUUCCUUCUGGACCUCCAUCUCCCUGGUGAAAGAAAGGUGGCACAUGGCAAAUCUUCAACAAACGUUGGCUGUUUGAAUGGAUUGGUGAAGGAUGAAUGGAUAAAUGAAGUGCAGAUCCCUUGCAAUUGGAGUCUGUGUUAGGGUCUGUGUUAUACCUCCUGUAUCCUUGGUACCUGGCACUGUUCCUUGAACAGAGUUUUUAAACCCGUGGAUGCUCUUUCAGCAUGGAAGUCACUGGAAUCAGUAUUUAGGGGAAGAGUUAUGAGUUGUUCUUUAUUUCUCUAUUAGUUAUAACCAGCUUACUUCCACAAAGAGCUUAAAGAAAAAGAACAUUAAGACUAGGACUUUUUCUCAAACAUCUUACAGAUUACAGGAUUGUUCUUUUGAACUCUGAAAAAUAAGCUGGUUUUGCUGUCAACUUUAUGAUUGGGUCAGAAGUCAUCAGUGCUUUAACAACAGAAUCUUGGGUGUGGUGUUUCCAUGAUUUCACCCAGGCAUGUUCCCAGCAUGAACAUAAGGGAGGGAACACAUGAUUAAAUAACGGUUUUUAACAUCUUGUCACAACUACAUGUUUAGCCGGACU